UUUUGGCCAACAUGGGAAACAAGCUCUUGGACCUGCGUCUCUUUGAUGUUUUGUAUGGGGACUUAAAAGAAAUUAUCCAUCUACAGAAUCACACAAGCAUACAGCAAAGACUCUCGAAGUGGUUUACUGGAGCCCGAGUGGAAGUGGAAAUAGACUAGAGAGACUGCCAGUUCAAACUCAGGUUGGGGAGGUCUUUCAAGAUGGACAGUUUCAGUAAAGUAUGAGAGAUUUCAAAUUUAAGCAUGCAUAUGGCAUGUAGGUUAUUUUUAAAAAUGUUUAACAAAAAUGUAUUGUGAAAGAUCUAUAUAGGUGUGUAUAUUCACAUUGUGUGUAUCAAUGUGAAUAUACGUGUAUAAAGUUAUAUAGAUAGUAUUUAGAUGUAUACAUUUAUAGACCUGUAGGAAAAUAUGUAGGUGUCUUUAUUUGUGUGCAUCUAUAGAUAUAUAUUUAUAGAUCUGUUUAUAAGUUUGUUAUAGUAAACUAGCUUCUGUUAUUUUCAAAGAUGUCGUGAAUAAUUGCAGAUUUCUUUUUGUGGCACCAUUCCCUGAGUAUUAAUGAAGUUCUAAUAAUUGCUGUAGUGAGGUAAAAAAUAACUCCUGACAAUAUUUUAAAUUACUAAAUAAAAGCCUUGAGCAAAAUAAA